CACGUAGUUAGCCGGGGCUUCUUAUUUAGGUACCGUCAUUUCUUUCUUCCCUAUUGAUAGAAGUUUACAAUCCGAAAACCGUCUUCCUUCACGCGGCGUUGCUGCAUCAGGGUUUCCCCCAUUGUGCAAUAUUCCCCACUGCUGCCUCCCGUAGGAGUUUGGGCCGUGUCUCAGUCCCAAUGUGGCCGGUCACCCUCUCAGGUCGGCUACUGAUCGUUGCCUUGGUGGGCUGUUAUCUCACCAACUAGCUAAUCAGAUGCGGGCCCAUCUUUUACCGAAUUACUCCUUUCUUUCUUAGAAGAUGCCUUCCAAGAACCGUAUGCGGUAUUAGUCGUCGUUUCCAACGAUUAUUCCACAGUAAAAGGCAGGUUACCCACACGUUACUCACCCGUCCGCCGCUAAAAUAAUCAAAAGCAAGCUCUCAAUUAUUUUCGCUCGACUUGCAUGUGUUAAGCACGCCGCCAGCGUUCAUCCUGAGCCAGGAUCAAACUCU
rnacentral:rRNA from 1 species